rnacentral:rRNA from 1 species
GACGAACGCUGGCGGCGUGCUUAACACAUGCAAGUCGAACGAAGUGGCGACCGGGUGAGUAAUACGUGGGUAACCCGCCCUCCUUUUUGGGAUAAGCCUUGGAAACGGGGUCUAAUCCCGCAUUACGGGGGAUGGGAUCUCGGCCUAGCUGCUUGUUGGUGUGGUGCGGGCCUCCCAAGGCGGUGACGGGUAGCCCGCCCGGGAGGGUGACCGGCGACAUUGGGAUGGAGAGAGGUCCGAGACGCCUACGGGAGGCAGAAGGUGGGGAUAUUGCACAUAGGGGGAAAGCCGGAUGCAGCGACGCCGCGUGGGGGAUGAAGGCGUUCGGGGUGUAAGCCUCUUUCGCUAUCGAACGGGUAGGUGGAGAAGAAGCGCCGGCUAACUACGUGCCAGCAGCCGCGGUGAUUC